rnacentral:lncRNA from 1 species
AGGUGGUUCCAAUUUGCUUGAUGGACUAGUAGUAUGUUUUUAGUAGAGUAAGGUCACGUGUGCAUCGGACAGCUCCGUGUGGGGUUAGAUGUUCGAUCAAUGCGUCUCUAGUUAAGUCUAUCGAGUGCGAAGAUUUACUUCUAAUAUCUUGACGAGUUACUUUUUUAAGUUACUAUGUAAAUUACUUUUAAGUUGUAUUAAAUUUAUUUUUAUUACUUUUAAGUUGUAUUAAAUUU